AUUGAACGCUGGCGGCAGGCCUAACACAUGCAAGUCGAGCGGAGCGGCCGACGGGUGCGUAAUGCUAAGGAAUCUGCCUGGUCGUGGUGGAUAACGUUCGCAACCGGGCGCUAAUACUGCUUACUAUCAGAUGCGCCUAGGUCGGAUUGGCUAGCUGGAGGGGUAAAGGCCUACCAAGGCGACGAUCCGUAACUGGUCUGAGUGGAGGAUCAGUCACAAUGAGACUGAGACACGGUCCAGACUCCUACGGGAGGCAGAAGUGGGGAAUAUUGGACAAUGGGCGAAAGCCUGAUGCAGCCAUGCCGCGUGUAUGAAGAAGGUCUACGGAUUGUAAAGCACUUUAAGUUGGGAGGCGUUACCAGCAGAAUAAGCACCGGCUAACUUCGUGCCAGCAGCCGCGGUAAUAC
rnacentral:rRNA from 1 species